rnacentral:rRNA from 1 species
GCCCCGGCUAACUACGUGCCAGCAGCCGCGGUAAUACGUAGGGGGCGAGCGUUGUCCGGAAUUAUUGGGCGUAAAGGGUACGUAGGCGGCUUUUUAAGUUUGACGUGAAAGCCCGGGGCUUAACCCCGGCGAGCGUUAAAAACUUCAGGCCUUGAGUGGUAGAAGGGAUCGUGGAAUUCCUAGUGUAGCGGUGAAAUGCGUAGAGAUUAGGAAGAAUACCAGUGGCGAAAGCGACGAUCUGGAUACCAACUGACGCUGAGGCGCGAAAGCGUGGGGAUCAAACAGGAUUAGAUACCCUGGUAGUCCACGCUGUAAACGAUGAAUACUUGAUGUAGGAGGUAUCGACCCCUUCUGUGUCGAAGUUAACGUAUUAAGUAUUCCACCUGGGGAGUACGGCCGCA